ensembl:lncRNA
GGAAAAAUUGAGCAGCAGUGGACAGGCUGCUAUCAACCACUGUAAUUUUUAAUAUGACAAAUCUAGGAACAAACCAACCAUUUCAAGUUAAUUUGACUGGAUGAAGGCAUGCACAUAAAGUAACUGUACCUUUCUCUAAUAGAAAAUAUAUUUAAUUACUAACUUAGUAAAACACAAGAAUGGAUUGUUGGUCAAGAAAAGAUGCCAAGAUAAGCUACGGAUAGGAAAAGGGACUACUUAGGAGUCUGUGGUCUAGGUGAAAACAAUAAUGAUGACAUUAUUAGCCAGUAAAACUGUGAGCUCCCAAUGCAAUGUAAUUAAAUUAAUAAUAAACUAUUUGCAAUUACAAUGGAGAGAAUUACCUAUAAGGCAAAGUGCAGAAACACUGAAACAGUUGUUCAUAUCAAACAGAUUCAAUGCCAUGUAUGCACAUUAAACCAAACACAAAUACAAAACAACACCAUCGACAACAACAAAAAUAAAUGGAAAAAAUAAAUUAAAUAUCCCAUUAAAAAAAAAAAAAGCCCAGAGGGCCUUUAUAUGAGCUGGGCAGAGGGAAAGAACUGAGGAUGGAGGCACUUAGCCCGUGGUAAAUCACUGCAUUAAUAAAAAUGCACGAAGAGGAUGUCUCAUUUGUAAAGUGAAACUGAAAAUGAACCCCUGCUGAGGGGGUGGAGCUUCAAAUAUGUUAUUAUUAAAGAAUAAAUCACCUUCUGUUGUGUUCUUCAUGAUGAUUGUUUGGUGAGACCAGCUUUCACAGACUAUUCGUUCAGCCUGUGAAGAAAAGAAACAGCAGAGAUCUCAGUGCAGCAGGGUUUCUUUCUGCUGCCCCAUGAACAAUGUGGCCCUUAUCCACUGUGGCAUCUUUUUGGAGAGAUGUAUGGUCAGGUCCUUAAAUAUAUUGGAAAACAGCUCAUGUUUUGUCAUUGUGCCUCAAUACAAGUGAACAAAAUGCGAUGUAAAGUGUGAAAAUUCAGCUUCAAGAAAUUUGGGAGAAAAAAAAAAUUAGAAACAAAACAAACAGAAAAACAAUUAACCAAUCAAAAACUGCAUGACAACGAAAUGCCCCAAAAUAGACCCCUGCCCAUCCUUCACUAUGAGCACGGGCGUGUCCUCCUUCUUUUUUUAAGAUGUUAUUUUUGGGACUUUAAGCCCUUAUUGGAUAGAGAGAGUGUAGAUAGAAGCGGAGAGAGAGUGAAAGACAUACAGCAAAGGUCUGCAGGUUGGAGUCAAACCCUGGCCUACUGCUUUGCGGCCAUAAAGCAUAUGGUCGCCUGCUCACCCACUGAGCCAAACCGGCGCCAUGGGCACGUCCUUCUUUCAGGUUAAAAAUUAGCCAGUGUUUACUUUACAAAGGCUGGAAACAGAGCCAAGAAAAAGUGCACUAGUCUAGUUCCCUCUCAGACCACUUGAAUUACACCAUGUGUUUGAGUCAUCUCCAAAUGCAGUAAAAUGGCGUUGCCUACUGAGCUCAUUAAAAUGGCUGCAGUUUAAAAAAAAUUCUGAUGGCUGUCGGGAUUCCCCCUCAGCAUCCUAUUACAUGGAUGUACGAUAUCAAUUUAAAAAUCCAAGGUGACAUCAUCC